UACGUAGGGUGCGAGCGUUGUCCGGAAUUAUUGGGCGUAAAGGGCUCGUAGGCGGUUUGUCGCGUCGGGAGUGAAAACACUGGGCUUAACUCAGUGCUUGCUUCCGAUACGGGCAGACUAGAGGUAUUCAGGGGAGAACGGAAUUCCUGGUGUAGCGGUGAAAUGACGCAGAUAUCAGGAGGAACACCGGUGGCGAAGGCGGUUCUCUGGGCAUUACCUGACGCUGAGGAGCGAAAGCGUGGGGAGCAAACAGG
rnacentral:rRNA from 1 species